rnacentral:rRNA from 1 species
CUAGUCAUAUGGAUGUGUCAGCAGCGCGCGGUAAUACGUAGGGUGCGAGCGUUAAUCGGAAUUACUGGGCGUAAAGCGUGCGCAGGUGGUUUUGUAAGUCAGAUGUGAAAUCCCCGGGCUUAACCUGGGAACUGCGUUUGAAACUACAAGGCUAGAGUGUGGCAGAGGGGGGUGGAAUUCCGCGUGUAGCAGUGAAAUGCGUAGAGAUGUGGAGGAACACCGAUGGCGAAGGCAGCCCCCUGGGUCAACACUGACGCUCAGGCACGAAAGCAUGGGGAGCAAACAGGAUUAGAUACCCUGGUAGUCCAUGCCCUAAACGAUGUCAACUAGUUGUCGGGUCUUAACGGACUUGGUAACGUAGCUAACGCGUGAAGUUGACCGCCUGGGGAGUACGAUCGCAAGAUUAAAACUCAAAGGAAUUGACGGGGACCCGCACAAGCGGUGGAUUAUGUGGAUUAAUUCGAUGCAACGCGAAAAACCUUACCUACCCUUGACAUGUAUUGGAGCCCGCAGAGAUGUGGGUGUGCCCGAAAGGGAACGAUAACACAGGUGCUGCAUGGCUGUCGUCAGCUCGUGUCGUGAGAUGUUGGGUUAAGUCCCGCAACGAGCGCAACCCUUGUCAUUAAUUGCCAUCAUUUAGUUGGGCACUUUAAUGAGACUGCCGGUGACAAACCGGAGGAAGGUGGGGAUGACGUCAAGUCCUCAUGGCCCUUAUGGGUAGGGCUUCACACGUAAUACAAUGGCGCGUACAGAGGGUUGCCAACCCGCAAGGGGGAGCUAAUCUCAGAAAGCGCGUCGUAGUCCGGAUCGGAGUCUGCAACUCGACUCCGUGAAGUCGGAAUCGCUAGUAAUCGCGGAUCAGCAUGUCGCGGUGAAUACGUUCCCGGGUCUUGCACACACCGCCCGUCA